CCUAUGAGAGUGAUGAAAUGACCACUCUCUGAUAAUGAUGUAAAGUCUAGUCUCUAUUUUAUCGUUUUCGAAUAUUUUUCAUAUGAUCACAUACAAUAUCAUUUAUCAAAUAAUUUAUAGCACAAACAAUUCAUACUUCAUAAGCCAAUCAAAUACAAUUCGUCCUCUUGAUUACACAUAAAGUGCUAUAGGUGGUUUAUUAGAUCGAUGAACAGUUUCGUUAUUUUAUUAAGA